rnacentral:rRNA from 1 species
UAGGGAAUCUUCCGCAAUGGACGAAAGUCUGACGGAGCAACGCCGCGUGAGUGAAGAAGGAUUUCGGUUCGUAAAACUCUGUUGUUAGGGAAGAAAAAAUGUAUAGUAACUAUAUACAAAAGAGACGGUACCUAACCAGAAAGCCACGGCUAACUACGUGCCAGCAGCCGCGGUAAUACGUAGGUGGCAAGCGUUGUCCGGAAUUAUUGGGCGUAAAGCGCGCGCAGGUGGUUUAGAAAGUCUGAUGUGAAAGCCCACGGCUCAACCGUGGAGGGUCAUUGGAAACUAAUAAACUUGAGUGCAGGAGAGAAAAGUGGAAUUCCUAGUGUAGCGGUGAAAUGCGUAGAGAUUAGGAGGAACACCGGUGGCGAAAGCGGCUUUUUGGCCUGCGACUGACACUGAGGCGCGAAAGCGUGGGGAGCAAACAGG